UCCUCCCUUCCCUCUCCCUCUCUCCCUCUCUCUACCUCUCUCUCUUCCUCCCUUCCAGCCUUUUUGUGGGGCUCUCCCUCCUCGCAUCAGCCCCGCCGCAGAGCCGACCCCCGCCUCGCCCCCCUCACCCGCUCCCCGCCAUCCCUUACAUAAGAGACUUCCCGCCCCGGCGGGCGCUCCCCACAGUUCUGCUAACAAGUUGAGAAACAUGAAAGAUUUCCCCAUUCCACACCAUCAUCUUCCACUUUCAAGACUUCAAGAAUUUCAAGACUUCAAGAAUUUCAAGACUUCUCUUUUUGACAUUGCUUUAAGAAAUGAGGAGCUGAAGGAGAAAAAGAGAGUGUAACACCAGAGCUUCACAGAUUUCUUCUGGCUCUGGAGGCCAAGAGAAAAGACCAGAAAUUCUAGUACAAGCCUGCUUAUAAUACAAUUAUUUCUGGCUGACAGCAAGGAAACAGAUGCUUCUUCAGGUCAGAGCUGCCCAACCUGUUCCUAGCCAAGCUUUCCAUCCUUUUUCACAGUGGCUGGACUUUUAUUGUGGCACAUCAAGGGCAUGAACAGCCUACAUGCAUUUCUCUCAAUCCCGUAAAAUGCAUGGUUUAACUGUUGUUAAACAACAGUUUAACAAUACUGGCUUACAAAACAGCACCUGCACAGGAAAGAAAUUUAAUGUUAAACAGUCUGUUCAGCCCCAAAAAAAUUUGUUGGAGAAAGCUUAGGGCAAGCAGAAGUUACAGUUUACUAUAGUUAACCUGAAAAUAAAUAUCUAAAUCAACUGGUUUUCAGUUAAGUUUGACCUUCUCUGGAGACAAAUUAGUCUUGGAGGUUUUUAGAGAAGCAAAUGGAAUAUUUUCUUUCCCACCUGCCUGUUCCAGCAAGGAAUGCAAUGAUCUCCUCCAGAUAAGCUUGGAAGUACAAUAACGAAGGCGCUUUUGCUAGAAGUUCAGCACUGGCAAAUUCUCACCAGUUCAGAAUUGUUUAAUACGUCUUGCAGAAAUUACCAUAGGUAAGAAUAGAUUAGAUUAGAAUUGCUUGAGAACUGAUGAGUUUAAAAGGAACUGUCAUAAAUGUUGUAGUGAAAUGCAGCUUGUUGAUACAGUAUUGCAUCACAAUUUGUAUGUCAAAUAGGCAGAGUAAGACCUUCACAGAUUGAAUCCAAUUCAUCACAGUUUUUAUAUAUUGUGUACAUAUUUUUGUGUAUAUACAUUAUAUAUAUAUAUAUAUAUAUACACACUUUUUCCCCAAAGUCAGUUGCUCUGUUCCAAAUAUCUGAUUUUAAAAUGUUUUUCCAUAGUGCUUGCCUUGGAGAAUAAACUGAAGUGCAGAUUCAGAUACAUUAUUAUAUUCUUCUUUGCAUGCUGAAUUCUUAAGACGUUUAGAAAUAUUGUGAAACUGCAAAAAAAGGCACAGUCAAUUAAUUCCUUCAUUUGAAUAAUUAACCAUUUUAAAUACUCCCUCCAUACCUUAUGUUCAGUUCUAGAUAUAUUAUUAAUAGUAGCUUGUACUGUGUGCUGCAGGAGACUGUUAGGCACAUGAUUCCUAGAACCUGGGGAGGAGAACAUUUCCUGACACUAUGAAUUUACCUACCCAAUGACAAAGUUGUCUUGUUCUAAUUCAAACAUGUUUCACACUGCAGUAAUUACUCCAUAUUUAUUUUAAUGAAAAAUUCAGCACAGUUAAUUUUUUUUAAAUUAUGAUGGUUGAUGAAUCCAUCCAAUUGCAUUCAACAAAAAUGCUAAUCACACUUCACUAUUUUUGAGCUGUUUCUGGUUUACCACUCAUUCCAGUAACAAAAAAGUGUCUAUAA
rnacentral:lncRNA from 1 species